CUCUCACUGGCACUCGCCCCAGGACUUUGCAGCACCUAUCCCGGGCACUCUGGCAUCCCAGAGGGUGCUCGUCCCCCGAUCAAGCCCUGCAGGCGCCGACCGGCUGCACCGAGGGCGGGGCCCGCCGAGUCCGCGCCCACCUGGAACCUCCGCAGGCCUGCGAGGGCCGCGCGCCACCCCGGUUCCCGUCUGCGCCUCCACACCUCCCCGCCAGCAGAGGGAGCCGGCUCCCGCCUCGGCCAGCCCCAGAGAGCGGCCGCCACAGCGCAGCGGCAGGGUGAAGGGCUCCUCCAGCGCGACCCGAGACGCCGAGGCCGAGGAGGCGCGGAGAGCGAGCGAAGGCUGCUAGCAAGUUGUCAUCUCUCAAUAGUUUUCUGGAAAGUGGGGCCAAAAGAGCUGUUUGGAUAAGCUCUUUGCCGAAGAAUAACGUGAGAAGGAAUUAUGUCUCUGAAUACUUUCUUACCCCAUCAAAUAUGAGCAGAACAUUCCAGAGAAGAUAUCAAGGAAUUAUUUCAGGAGGUAGCAAAGCCUGGCAAGGUGAAGAAAAUGUGACUGAAGAGAUUGAAUUAAUGUGCUGACAUUCACACCCUUUAACCUUAGAGAUGUUAUUGGUUCCUAAGCUUCAGUUUCUUUAUGUGUGCAAGGAAAUAAUAAUAUCUA
rnacentral:lncRNA from 10 species